rnacentral:rRNA from 1 species
UAAGUGAAGAGUUUGAUCCUGGCUCAGAGUGAACGCUGGCGGUAGGCCUAACACAUGCAAGUCGAACGGCAGCACAGGAGAGCUUGCUCUCUGGGUGGCGAGUGGCGGACGGGUGAGGAAUACAUC